UUGUUAUACAUGAGGAAUGCAUGAAGCUAUUAAAACAGACAUGUCAGGAGCGGUGACAGGUCCUCUUUAAAUAACAUUUUGCAUGCUGCACCACGCGCACUACUUCUCAUUUAAAUGAAUCAGAAUUUUAGAACAAGGUUAAAAUGAAAAUUCAAAAGGGCUUUCUUUUUCAUUUGACUUUUGGCAGGGAAAAUGCCUACAAGAGAUGAAAUUGAAAUCUCAAUCUACCAUUUUCAGCUUCUACAUGGUGUGUUCAUUUGAUUUAUGAUUUUGACAUGAAAAACCCACUAUAGGAAGAGGAGAAUUAAUUGACAAAGUGAAAAUUUAAAGUGAAAAAGGCUAUUUAUUUUUACAUUAAUUUUUUUGGCACUUAUGACCCACACUGGAGUUGGAAAAGAAAAUAAAAAAAUGGAGAAAUUGAAUUUUCUUUUUAAUUUUGGCAUGCAUUUAGCAGACACUAGAUGAAAUUAAAAUGUUAAAACGUUAUUUUAAUUCUAAUUUUCAAUUUCAUUUUAAUUUUGGCAGGUUUUACCUCCCAUACUGUAUGUAGCAGACAGAGUUACUUACACUAGAACUAGCAAGUUGUACAGCUC